GUGGCCUAGUGGUUAUAGCGUCUGCCUCGGAUUCAGAAAGUCGCAGGUUCGAAUCUCGGCCGAGUCUUACA